UCGACGAUGAACUGGCGCUUGCGUCGGGGAUUAGUGGCGAACGGGUGAGUAACACGUGAGUAACCUGCCCUUAACUCUGGGAUAAGCCUGGGAAACUGGGUCUAAUACUGGAUAUUGACUUUUCCUCGCAUGGGGUUUGGUUGAAAGAUUUUUUGGUUUUGGAUGGACUCGCGGCCUAUCAGCUUGUUGGUAUGGGUAAUGGCCUACCAAGGCGACGACGGGUAGCCGGCCUGAGAGGGUGACCGGCCACACUGGGACUGAGACACGGCCCAGACUCCUACGGGAGGCAGCAGUGGGGAAUAUUGCACAAUGGGCGAAAGCCUGAUGCAGCGACGCCGCGUGAGGGAUGACGGCCCUCGGGUUGUAAACCUCUUUCAGUAGGGAACAAGGCCACACGUUGUGUGGUUGAGGGUACUUGCAGAAGAAGCGCCGGCUAACUACGUGCCAGCAGCCGCGGUAAUACGUAGGGCGCAAGCGUUAUCCGGAAUUAUUGGGCGUAAAGAGCUCGUAGGCGGUUUGUCGCGUCUGCCGUGAAAGUCCGGGGCUCAACUCCGGAUCUGCGGUGGGUACGGGCAGACUAGAGUGAUGUAGGGGAGACUGGAAUUCCUGGUGUAGCGGUGAAAUGCGCAGAUAUCAGGAGGAACACCGAUGGCGAAGGCAGGUCUCUGGGCAUUAACUGACGCUGAGGAGCGAAAGCAUGGGGAGCGAACAGGAUUAGAUACCCUGGUAGUCCAUGCCGUANACGUUGGGCACUAGGUGUGGGGGNCAUUCCACGUUUUCCGCGCCGUAGCUAACGCAUUAAGUGCCCCGC
rnacentral:rRNA from 1 species